rnacentral:lncRNA from 1 species
GCUUCACCACCAUGUUCAAGGGGCUGAGCAAAGGCUCCCAGGGGAAGGGGUCCCCCAAGGGCUCCCCAGCCAAGGGGUCCCCCAAGGGCUCCCCCAACAAGCACAACCGGGCUGCAACCCAGGAACUGGCCCUGCUCAUCUCUCGAAUGCAAGCCAACGCUGACCAGGUGGAAAGGGACAUUUUGGAGACUCAGAAGAGAUUGCAACAAGACCGGCAGAAUGGUGAGCAGAACCAGGCUUUGCAGCACCAGCAGGAGACCGGCCGCAACCUGAAGGAGGCUGAGGGGCUGCUUAAGGACCUUUUCCUGGAUGUAGACAAGGCCCGUCGGCUCAAGCACCCUCAGGCUGAGGAGAUUGAGAAGGAGUAAGUGAGCUGGGGCUCACAGUGGAAGGCCG